rnacentral:rRNA from 1 species
GACGAACGCUGGCGGCGUGCCUAAUACAUGCAAGUCGAACGAGUGGCGGACGGGUGAGUAACACGUGGGUAAAUACCCAUCAGAGGGGGAUAACACUUGGAAACAGGUGCUAAUACCGCAUACUGGUGGAUGGACACGCGGUGCAUUAGCUAGUUGGUGAGGUAACGGCUCACCAAGGCCACGAUGCAUAGCUGACCUGAGAGGAUGAUCAGUCACACUGGAACUGAGACACGGUCCAGACUCCUACGGGAGGCAGCAGUGGGGAAUAUUGCACAAUGGGCGCAAGCCUGAUGCAGCCAUGCCGCGUGUAUGAAGAAGGCCUUCGGGUUGUAAAGUACUUUCAGCGGGGAGGCGUUACCCGCAGAAGAAGCACCGGCUAACUCCGUGCCAGCAGCCGCGGUAAUAC